AAAAAUGUUAGGGAGAAGUAAUAAUUCAUUUUGGUUAGAGCAAAGCUGCUUUAGGUGGUUCAGUGGUCCUGUGGUAGCAGUGAGAGGUGUUGCAUGGAAGAUCAAACCAUUAAAUACGCAAAUAGUAACCUUUAAUGAAUUUCAAAAUAUGUUUUGGAUUUCUAGUUAAACUUGUUAUUAUUUUAUGAAUUUUUAUAUGAAUUUUUAUUGUUUAAUGAUUAUUUAAAUGUUUUUUUAUUAAACUUUUGAUAUUUUUUUUUUUUUUAAUUAUGGAUGAUGUUACACACUGAAAGAUGAAUAUCUUGUUAUAGGUAAAUCUGUGAAAGAGAAAGGCGCUGGAAUGGGAAACCCUAGCAGAGGAACGAAGACGCGAGAAAAAUGAAAGUGAUGAUGAUGAGUCGGGCUGCGAAGGAAAAGUGAUGCGCUGAUGUCUUGAAGCGCUGACGCAGGCAGAAGAGGUGUCAGCGAAGGAGUGGUUGAGAAGCUGAAGAUGUGGUGGAUGUUGUUUAAUGGUGCUGCGUGUAUAUGAGAGAGAAAGUGGAAAUGGAUAAUGACUAAAUAGCAGGAAUGAUAAUAAUAAUUUCGAUAAAUAACAGCAGUAAAGAGAAUGAAACUUAAAUACAAGACUACGAUAUAAUACAGAAAUGUUCAAUUUCAAGCUAACCAAUUCUAUUUAUAUAGUGUUUCUAAGCUUACUUAUUAAAGUCCGCGACGCGAUUCCUUGAUUUACGGCGAAAUCGGGGUGGUCCACCGUGUACGCGGCAGCGAUUCCAAUUAUACUCGGAACUUUUCUUCACUUCUCCGGCGAGGCAGCACGAAUUAAAGCAAAAGAGAUUUUGUUCUAUGACUCCGGCCAGAUAACAGGUAUUGCAGAGAAAUAGACUUGGAAAGGAAGAAGAUGGUGGGUGAUAGAGUAUUGCUUUUUGGGUCAGAUUGGGUAUUGGGUACUGGGC
rnacentral:lncRNA from 1 species